UUCCGGUUGAUCCUGCCGGACCUGACUGCUAUCGGAUUGAUACUAAGCCAUGCGAGUCAUUGUAGCAAUACAAGGCAGACGGCUCAGUAACGCGUAGUCAACCUAACCUAUGGACGGGAAUAACCUCGGGAAACUGAGAAUAAUGCCCGAUAGAACACUAUGCCUGGAAUGGUUUGUGUUCCAAAUGAUUUAUCGCCGUAGGAUGGGACUGCGGCCUAUCAGUUUGUUGGUGAGGUAAUGGCCCACCAAGACUAUUACAGGUACGGGCUCUGAGAGGAGUAGCCCGGAGAUGGGUACUGAGACACGGACCCAGGCCCUAUGGGGCGCAGCAGGCGAGAAAACUUUGCAAUGUGCGAAAGCACGACAAGGUUAAUCCGAGUGGUUUGUGCUAAACAGACCUUUUGUUAGUCCUAGAAACACUAACGAAUAAGGGGUGGGCAAGUUCUGGUGUCAGCCGCCGCGGUAAAACCAGCACCUCAAGUGGUCAGGAUGAUUAUUGGGCCUAAAGCAUCCGUAGCCGGCUCUGUAAGUUUUCGGUUAAAUCUGUAUGCUCAACAUACAGGCUGCCGGGAAUACUGCAGAGCUAGGGAGUGGGAGAGGUAGACGGUACUCGGUAGGAAGGGGUAAAAUCCUUUGAUCUAUUGAUGACCACCUGUGGCGAAGGCGGUCUACCAGAACACGUCCGACGGUGAGGGAUGAAAGCUGGGGGAGCAAACCGGAUUAGAUACCCGGGUAGUCCCAGCUGUAAACUAUGCAAACUCAGUGAUGCAUUGGCUUGUGGCCAAUGCAGUGCUGCAGGGAAGCCGUUAAGUUUGCCGCCUGGGAAGUACGUACGCAAGUAUGAAACUUAAAGGAAUUGGCGGGGGAGCACCACAAGGGGUGAAGCCUGCGGUUCAAUUGGAGUCAACGCCGGA
rnacentral:rRNA from 1 species